UCCUUUGCACGUGGAUCUCACUGC
rnacentral:siRNA from 1 species